AACGAACGCUGGCGGCAGGCUUAACACAUGCAAGUCGAACGCCCCGCAAGGGGAGUGGCAGACGGGUGAGUAACGCGUGGGAACGUGCCCUUCGCUUCGGAAUAGUCCCGGGAAACUAGGUUUAAUACCGGAUACGCCGUAUUGGGAAAGAUUUAUCGGCGAAGGAUCGGCCCGCGUUAGAUUAGGUAGUUGGCGGUGUAAUGGACCACCAAGCCUACGAUCUAUAGCUGGUCUGAGAGGAUGAUCAGCCACACUGGGACUGAGACACGGCCCAGACUCCUACGGGAGGCAGCAGUGGGGAAUCUUGGACAAUGGGCGAAAGCCUGAUCCAGCCAUGCCGCGUGAGUGAAGAAGGCCUUAGGGUUGUAAAACUCUUUCGCCGGAGAAGAUAAUGACGGUAUCCGGAGAAGAAGCCCCGGCUAACUUCGUGCCAGCCGCCGCAGUAACAC
rnacentral:rRNA from 1 species